GACGAACGCUGGCGGCGUGCUUAACACAUGCAAGUCGAACGGUGAAGCGCCUUCCUUUUUGGUGGGUGUGGAUGAGUGGCGAACGGGUGAGUAACACGUGAGUAACCUGCCCCCUUCUUCUGGAUAACCGCAUGAAAGUGUUGCUAAUACGGGAUAUUCUGGGUCUGUCGCAUGAUGGGUCUGGGAAAGAUAUUGUUUCGGUGGGGGAUGGGCUCGCGGCCUAUCAGCUUGUUGGUGGGGUGAUGGCCUACCAAGGCGGUGACGGGUAGCCGGCCUGAGAGGGUGGACGGUCACACUGGGACGGCGACACGGCCCAGACUCCUACGGGCGGCAGCAGUGGGGAAUAUUGCACAAUGGGCGCAAGCCUGAUGCAGCGACGCCGCGUGAGGGAUGGAGGCCUUCGGGUUGUGAACCUCUUUCGCCAGUGAAGCAGGCCUGCCUCGUUUGUGGGUGGGUUGACGGUAGCUGGAUAAGAAGCGCCGGCUAACUACGUG
rnacentral:rRNA from 1 species